GUUCCCGGACCCUGCAGCUUCUUCCCGGACUUGGGCGUGCAGGAAAGCGCUUUGGAGAGUCUUGCUGCCGCCAAGCCACCUCUGAGAGGGCAGCACAAGAUGACCGCCUCCCCGGAGACAGCCCAGGCCGGAGUCGGUCAUGGGUUGGGUCCGGCUGGAGACGCGGGAGCCCGCCCGGAUCCUGCCGGCACCUGCCAGACACAGCUGGCGACCUCUGGCUCCGAAGAUCCCAGCAGUGCGGGCGGCCUCAGCAGCAGUUGCAGCCACCUGAGCCCUCCUGGGGAAUCGCCGAGCCCGGACUCCCUGGAGUCGUUUUCUAACCUGCAUUCUUUCCCCAGUAGCUCCGAGUUCAAUAGUGAGGAGGGAGCGGAGAACAGGGUCCCAGAGCAGGAGGAGUGCGCCACCGCGCGGCGGUGCCUGGGGCUGUCCUUCUCUGCCAGGAGGAGGAGGCGGAGACCGCUCAGGUCCUGGAGGCCUCCAAGGAAUGCUUCCCAGGACAAUCUGUGUAUCACAUCAAGUGGAUCCAGUGGAAGGAAGAGAACACACCCAUCAUCACCCAGAAUGAGAAUGGACCCUGCCCUUUGCUGGCCAUCCUCAAUGUUUUGCUCCUGGCCUGGAAGGUGAAACUUACACCGAUGAUGGAAAUCAUAACUGCUGAGCAGCUGAUGGAAUAUAUAGGAGAUUACAUGCCUGAGGCAAAGCCAAAAGAAAUUUCAGAAAUUCAACGUUUAAAUUAUGAACAGAAUAUGAGUGAUGCUAUGGCAAUUUUGCACAAACUACAGACAGGCCUGGAUGUAAAUGUAAAAUUCACUGGUGUCCGAGUGUUUGCAUAUACACCAGAGUGCAUAGUAUUUGAUCUGCUUGGUAUUCCUUUGUACCAUGGGUGGUUAGUAGAUCCUCAGAUUGAUGACAUUGUCAAAGCUGUUGGUAACUGCAGCUACAACCAACUUGUGGAGAAGAUCAUCUCUUGUAAGCAGUCAGACAGUAGAGAGCUGGUUAGCCAAGGCUUUGUAGCUGAGCAAUUUCUAAAUAACACAGCCACUCAACUGACAGACCAUGGAUUAUGGGAACUAACUUCAACGGUUCAGGAAGGAGAACUUUGUGUGUUCUUUCGGAGUAAUCAUUUUAGCACCAUGACCAAAUACAAGGGUCAGCUGUAUUUGCUGAUAACAGAUCAGAGGGUUCUUACCAAUGAAAAAGUUGUUUGGGAAAGCCUACACAAUGUAGACAGUGAUGGAAACUUCUGUGACUCUGAAUUUCAUCUGCGGCCUCCUUCAGAUCCUGAAACUGUAGACAAAGGACAACAAGAUCAGAUAGAUCAGGACUAUCUUAUGGCAUUAUCUCUACAACAAGAACAGCAAAGCCAAGAGAUCAAUUGGGAAAAAAUUCCGGAAGGAAUCAGAGAUUUGGAGCUAGCAAAGAAACUCCAAGAGGAAGAAGACAGACGGGCUUCUCAGUACUAUCAGGAGCAGGAACAGGCAGCGGCUGUUGCUGCUUCUGCUUCUGCGUCUCCACAGCCCCAGCAGAGCCAGCCAGGAUAUCUGUACUCCUAUGGCACUGAGUGGAGCAAAGUGGGUGAUGGAGGCUGUGCAGCCCUGCCGGCCUUCACCACCACUCCCACUGUCAGCCUGGGCAGCAGGACUUCUGCCACUAACACCAUGGGUUCAAAGUCAGGCCUUGUCUGUGUGCUGCUGAGACUGAACCAGCUUACCUGGGCUGUAGAAUCUGUCAGUAGUUGA